AGGCUCCCUAUGGGGAGCCGGAUGCGGGACUCUAUCCAGGACUCCAGGAUCACGACCUGAGCCAAAGGCAGACACUCAACCCGUGAGGCACCCAGGCGCCCCAGGAUUUCCUUUUCUGUGACUGGGGAGCCCUGGGGGCAUGGGUGCUGCUGGGGUGGGCCCCGAGCCAACUGAAUCCCCCCCCAGCCGAGGAAGCAGAGGAGAACCGAGGGGGCCGGAGUCUGUCAGGCGGCGGGAAGCCAGCGCAGGCAGCAGGCAGGCGGCCGAUGGAGGGGGGAGUCCCCUCUGAAGUCCAUUGGGAAGCUGUGCUGGCAGUGUCCCAAGAGCCCCUCCUCCUGCCCAGAUGGGGCGGGUGACGCAACGAAUAAACGAGGUAAUACAUGGCAUCUUGGACAGUGCCCUCCACCGGGAAGAGGCUCGGCAAAUGUUCACAGCCGGUUACGCGCGGGCACCUGAGCGCGCUGGCUCCCGCUAGCAGAUGCGUCCUUGGCGGGUGGGAAGCUCCGUCUCUAGGCGAUCGAGCACCGCUGGCAGGCUUGGUCCAGGUCAAGAGAGCCCAGAACCCUCCCCGGCUGUUCAGGGCUUCCCAUGUGCCAGGCACUCCCCACCCGUUAAUAAUGCACAUUGUUAUGUCCAGCUUUGAACGGCUGAGCAGCGCUGCCACGUCCUGGUCCCAAUUUACAGUUGAGAAAUGGAGGGAGGCCCAGAGAUUGGAAGGAGAAGACGCGUGCCACUCACAGAUGGAGAAACUGAGGCACGCCGGAGCAAAGUCACACAGCAACCGGGAAAGCCUGGAUGCAAACUCGGACGUCUGACCUGCGGAUCUUUGC
rnacentral:lncRNA from 1 species